AAGACUCUGUCUCAGAAAAAAAAAAAAGAAAAUGCCAAAAGUUCUACUUAAGUUAUGGGUUAAUUGCAACAGGUGAUUCACAUUCUCUAAGCCCACUUUGUAUAUUAUGUGCUGACCCACUAUUCAAGGAAGCCAUGAAAACUUCAAAACUGCUUCACCACCUGGAGACCAAGCACCCUGCAUUAAAAGACAAGCCUUUGGAGUUUUUCUAAAGAAAAAACAUGAACACAGAGAACAGAAGUAAUUAUUGAAGGCCACUACUUCAUUAAGUGUGUCUGUACUGAGAGCAUCGUUCCUAGUGGCUAACCACGUUAUUAGGCUAAGAAGCCCUUUAGUAUUGGUGAAGAGUUGAUCCUGCCUGCUGCUAAGGACAUUUGUCAUGAACUUUUAGGAGAGGCUGCUGUUCAAAAGGUGGCACAUGUUCCUCUUUCAGCUAACACCAUAACUAGAAGAAUGGAUGAAAUAGCAGAGAAUAUUGAGGCACAAUUGUUAGAGAGGAUUAAUGAGUCACCGUGCUACACAAUCCACAAAAGGGUUUUGUCCCAGAAAUAGACUCAUACAUAUAUGAUCAGUGAUUUUCAACAGUGGUACAAAUGCAAGUCAGCGCAGAAAAAAUAAUCUCUUCAACAAAUGGUGCAGGAACAAUUGGAUAUCCAUAAAAUGAACUCGGAUCCACGCUUUGCACCAUAUGCAAAAAUUGACUCAAAAUAGGUAUAGGUCCUAGACCUAAAUGUAACAACCUGAAACUCUAAAAUUUCUCAGGAAAAAAAUGGGAUAAAAUCUUUGUGGUCUUGGAUUAGGCAAAGAUAUUUUCUUGUGUUUGUGGGUAAAGAAACCUUUAAUGAGGGUUCAAGGUGUAAGAGGAGGACCUUGUAGAGAGCCAGCGCUUAGCCCCAGCCUCCUCAUAUGCACAUGGCUCUGUAGAGGUUCUCCAGACAGUGCUGCUGCUGCUGUUUCGAGCCUUAUCUCCUCUGUGCUCCUCACAAGUGUCGUUAACAGCGGGCAGCUCCUGGCAGCACAAGGGACAGGGAUUUGUCUUGCUUAGCCGGGGCAAAAUGCAGUUAGAAUGGAAAAGCUAAUGGCAAGGCAUCCCAACAACAGCCUCCUCCUCCUCAAGCACAUGGGGCACUUGUGUGUGCCUCUCAGCCUGAGAGCUCCUGAUGACUGUCCUGGGGAGGUUCCCAACCACACUGUCUUGGCAGCUGGUGGAGGCAGGUGGUGAUUCCAAUUUACUGCCAUCCCCGAGUCUUCAAAAUCCAUCCUAUUGAAAAGUGAUCUGGUGAGCUCCAGCAGCAUGUGGGUUAGGGUCUCCUGCUUGGGGUUCAAGAGCUUGCAGUCCUGUUCAUUGAAAUAGGCUGUCAUGGCUGCUCAGCUCUCUGACAUAUCUCUCAGACUGGCAAAGAUAUUAGGUCUGAUACCAAAAGUACAAUCCAUAGAAGAAAAAGGAUGGAUACAUUGGACUUCAUUAAAAUUAAGAAUGUUUUCUCCUUGAAAAAUAAUGUUAAGAGAAUAAGAAGAUAAGCCACAAACUUGGAAAAAAAGUAAUUGUAAAUUACAUAUCUGAUAAAGUACUUGUACCCAAAAUAUGCACAAGAAUCUCAAAACUCAAUAAUAAGAAAACAAUCCAAUUUAAGAAAUUAUUUUAACAUACAUUUUACAAAAGAGGAUAUAUAGAUAGCAAAUAAGCCCACAAAAAGAUAUUGAAUAUUAUUGACCAUUGGGAAAAUGCAAAUUAAAACAAAAUGAGAUACCAUUACACACCUAUUAGAAUGUCUAAUAUUGAGAAGACUAAUCAUACUAACUGAUGAGGAUUUGGAGCAACUGGAACUCUCAAACCCUGCUGAUAGAUAAAUGCACAACCACUUUGGAACAGUUUGGUAGUUUUUUAAAAAGUUAAACAUACAUCUGCCUUAUGCCCCAGCCAUACAAUUUUUAGACAUUUCUCAAGGAAAAUGAAAGCAUAUGUUCAUUCAGAGAUACACAUGCAUAUUCAUUGCAGCUUUAUUUGUAACAGCCAAAAACUGGAAACAGCCCAAAUGUCCAGCAACAAAAGAAUGGAUAAACAAAUUGUGGUAUAUUUACUACCUAGCAGUUGAAAGAAAUAAACCUCUGACACACACAAGCUGGAUUAAAAAAGAAGAGGAAAUGAAUUAUUGAUACAUAUAAUAAAGAUUACUCUCAAAAUAAUUAUGGUAAGUCAAAGAAGUCAGACCAUGCUCCCUAAGAGUAUAUACUUCAUGAUUCAAUUUCUGUACAAUUCUAUAAAAUGCAAAUUAAUAUAUGAUAACAAAAAGUGAUUGCCUGGAAAUGGUGAGAGGACAGAGGGGCCAGAAUCAGCCAGGAUUACAAAGAUGCACAAGGAAACUUUUGAGGGUGGUGGAUAUCUUGAGUGUGGUGAUAGUUUUACAGUUGUAUGCCUAUGUUAGAAGCUAUCAAAUUGUACACUUUAAGUAUGUACACUUUGUUGUAUAUUAAUUAUGCCUUAAUAAAGUUAUUAUAAAAAGUAGUUCCAGGCAAUACUAGACACUCAAUAAACAUUUGUAAACUAGUCGUUGACUUUCUUGGACUGUGACUUGUUAGCAGUUAGGGAUUGAUUAUUCUGUACAUGUUUAU
rnacentral:lncRNA from 10 species